GGGGUUGUGGCUCAGUGGUAGAGCGCUUGCCUAGCAUGUGUGAAGCACUGGGUUCGAUCCUCAGCACCA
rnacentral:tRNA from 1 species